GACGAACGCUGGCGGCGUGCCUAACACAUGCAAGUCGAGCGGGAGACUUCGGUCUCUAGCGGCGGACGGGUGAGUAACACGUGGGUAACCUGCCUUGUAGAGGGGGAUAGCCUUCCGAAAGGAAGAUUAAUACCGCAUAACAUUAUGCUGUCGCAUGACAGUGUAAUCAAAGGAGCAAUCCGCUACAAGAUGGACCCGCGGCGCAUUAGCUAGUUGGUGAGGUAACGGCUCACCAAGGCAACGAUGCGUAGCCGGCCUGAGAGGGUGAACGGCCACAUUGGAACUGAGACACGGUCCAGACUCCUACGGGAGGCUG
rnacentral:rRNA from 1 species